GCUUUUGUGGCCACAGGAACCAAUCUGUCUCUCCAGUUUUUUCCGGCCAGCUGGCAGGGAGAACAGCGACAAACACCUAGCCGAGAGUAUGUCGACUUAGAAAGAGAAGCAGGCAAGGACUAGGACUGGAAGCAAAGAAAAUUGAAGGAACUUCUCCAAAUGUUAAUUAUUUGCCUCUGUUCCUUAUAUUGGAUUCCAAAUCAGUGUCUUCUUCCAUAUUCUCUCAACUGAGUUACCUUCUGAAGCAGCUUAGUUCUCGUCCUGUUCAUACGCAGUUUUGAGGAACUAUAGUUGUAAAGGCUUUAGAGUUAGGCAAAAUUGAGUUAAGUUCUGGCUUCUGCAUUUACUACAGUGUAACUUUGGGCAUGUUGUUUAAUCAUUGUAAUCCUUAGUUGUAGAAUGAGAUUAAUGGGUACUUCCCAGGGUUGCUGUUGAGAGUAACUGAAAUAGUGUAUGUAAAGUGUUUUGACCACUACUGUACCUGUCACAGUUAUCAAAAAAUUUAUUCAUUCAGAAGGUCUUUGUUGAACACCUGUUACGUGUACUGAGCAUUGUCCUAGGUAUUUGAGAUACAUCAGUGAACAGAGAUCCUUAACAGACAAUAUACAUAAUAAGUUAUGUAAUAGCUUACAAAGUGACAGUACCUUUGGGAAAAAGGAAAGGUAUUAUAGGAUAAAGAUGAUCAAUGAACAGGAAGUUUGCAGUUUUAAAUUGAGUGGUCUGGGUAAGGAAGAUCAUACCUGAACCAAGACACAAAGGAGGUUAGGGAAUGAUGAGCCCUGCAGGGGUUGGGG
rnacentral:lncRNA from 1 species